CAUGAAUGACAGCAUCUACUCCAUGCACCAUAUUCAACAAGAAAAUAAAAGCCUUUUAAGAGCUUAUGAUGGAAUGAUCCCCAUGUGGGCAGGAUUUAUAAGCUAAUAUGGAAAUUCUCCAUGAAUAUACAGAAAGACUUGUGCUCCUAUUCAUUGGGGAAGAUUCUUGCAGCUCAUUCUGGGCACAAAGAUGGAAGAGUUUCUCUGUGUGUUUUUGGCAUUCUGUGGAGAUCCACACACUCACACAUGACUGAAGGAAGGGAUGUGGUUGGUGGAGAGUAUACAAGAGUACAAGUAAAUGACAAGAAAGAGAUACUUCUCCUUUCAGUCUUUUGGGCUUAUGUGGGUUGCAGUUAGUAUUUUGUGGCCAUAAGAAAAUGAAACUCUGG
rnacentral:lncRNA from 1 species